rnacentral:rRNA from 1 species
ACUCCUACGGGAGGCAGCAGUGGGGAAUUUUGCACAAUGGGGGAAACCCUGACGCAGCAACGCCUAAAUGGGGGAUGAAGUCCCUCGGGACGUAAACUCCUUAGACCCGAAGAUAAGACGUACC